GAUGAACGCUAGCGGCAGGCCUAAUACAUGCAAGUCGAGGGGUAGUGGGAGCUUGCUUCCAUGAGACCGGCGCACGUGUGCGUAACGCGUAUGCAAUCUACCUCUAUCUGGGGGAUAGCCCGGAGAAAUCCGGAUUAACACCGCAUAAAAUCACAGUACGGCAUCGUACAAUGAUCAAAUAUUUAUAGGAUAGAGAUGAG
rnacentral:rRNA from 1 species